AAUAAAGUGCCUGACAAAAGGGUUAUUUUGAUAGAAUAAAUUAUAUAAUUUUUAUUAUCUUUAUUA
rnacentral:tRNA from 1 species